GGCGAACACACGCAAGAAACCAAUUCACCUCAUUCACUGAAGAAGGAUGUAGAAAACAUGGGGAAAGAAGAACUCCAGAAGGUUUUGUUUGAGCAAAUAGACUUACGGAGGAGAUUAGAACAGGAAUUCCAGGUGUUGAAAGGAAACGCUUCUUUCCCAGUAUUCAAUAAUUUUCAAGAUCAGAUGAAACGGGAGCUGGCGUACAGAGAAGAAAUGGUACAACAGUUACAAAUUAUUCCCUAUGCAGCAAGCUUGAUCAGGAAAGAAAAGCUCGGCACGCACCUCAGCAAAAGCUAAAAGAAGCACACGACCCUCUGCAGCAGUUCUCUUAUAAGGUACAACCCACCACUCAGAAAUCUGACUUGUUUAAAGACUGAGAAAACAGAAGGGCUUGGGAAUUUAAAAAGCAAGCAAACAAAAAAAAUCAGGUUUCUCUGAACCCAAGGACAAGUGACCUCAAAGCAUCAUGGACAACCAUGUAAAAUAGAAUGUAGCAGCCAUUUAUUAGUAAAAAAACAAAAAUCAAAAAAUGCCUGUCCUGGAUCUUUUUGGUGGUACCAAAGUUUAAGUCUUUGUGUUUUUAGAAGGACGACUGAACUGGGUAGAGUCUGAGAAAAUGCUGCGAAAGGGACCGUGCUGAUCCUUUCAACGCCUCAAACGCUGAAAUCGUCUGCAAGUUCAUCUUUUGCUUUUGAAUAGUGAUUGUUUCAUGGAAAGAAGUGUGUGACUUGUCAGAAGGGCCAGAAUCACAUUUGGAUGGAUGGAUGGAUGGAUGGAUGGUUGGAUGGAUGGAUAGAUAGAUGGAAGGAAAAAGCGUUAGCCAUACACAGUGCUUUUUAAAAGCAGACUGGAAAUUCCAACACCUCCCCACUUCCAGGCCCCUGUUCUCCUCUGGUUCUUUGCCUGCUGUAUGAAUUAAGAUUGUACUCUUCUGGAAAUAUUUUACAAUUUAAUAUUGAGUGUAAUUAAGAAUAUAAUCACUGUUAUCAAAAAAAAG